rnacentral:misc_RNA from 1 species
GAAACAAUCACCUGACUUACGUAUCGCCAAUUAUAAAGAUUGCAGUGUUUUUUAAUGUGGGGCUUCGCAAGAGGAUUAAAAUCCUGACCCUAGAGCCUUUUCGUUCAAUGGGUAACUCCUCAAAAACAUCAUGAGCAAGUUGGUAGAGUGACGUUGGUGAGUCAUCGAUGACUGGGAUAUCGACUUCGAAUCUGUGUUGCUUCAGUUUCUUAAGUUUACCGCUGAGUUUAGGGUUAAUGAGGAGGCUUCUCCAGGGUGGUUGAGAGGCAGGUUUUGGCUUAAAGGAUGGCUUCUUCUUUCGAUGAAGGUGGGGUAGGGGAAGAUAGGGAAGAGUGGAUGGAUAGAGAGGCAAUUU